rnacentral:lncRNA from 1 species
AGCAUAAACGGUAAAAGCUCAAUUGAAAAUUAAUUUUUAAUAACAUUCAUAUAACAAUAGCCAAUUAUUUUGACCUGGAAAAACCGAAACGAUCCUCUCAAACCAAAUGCAGUGUCAUUGGCAUCAUAGACAUCUUCACAGAUAUUUCACCUAUACCAAAUCUUUAGAGUUUACUUCAAACAUAUUCUCCACUGAAUUUGAUGUGGCAAAAGAUUUACAAGAAUCAAUGAGAUGCAAAAACUGAUGGAUCGUGACACUGCAUAAAGAAAAAGAUAUUAGUAAGGUUCACUUUCCUGCGACAUCAUUAGUAUUUGAUCAAUAAAGAGCCAUUAACAGAAGUGAAAGCCUUGGCCUUAAAGGCAACUUUGAAUUCCAAAUAAAAGAGGCUAGAAAGAAUUGAAAAGAAAUGACUACUAUUUAUGGGAAAAUUCUGACAUGAAGAUGCCUGAUUUCCAAUACUCUGAGCCCUAAAAUCUUGCUAACCGAAUAACAUAGUUAUUCAUCACAUCCCAACUAAAAUUUAAACAACUAAUCAAUAAAAGAAUAGUGAGAAAUAACUUAAUACAGUUUCAUUGAUUGAAACUAUUAUCUCAAAGGAGACUAGAAAAUUAUAUCAAAUUAGUGUUAAUAUUGUGC